UGGCUACUGCGCAGCUCUCUCACAACAC
rnacentral:piRNA from 1 species